CACUUUGCGCCAUCGCCGGAGCCCGGCAGCUCCAUCGCGGCCAACCGCCAUCUUCUCCCUCCUCUCCCUUUUCUUUCUAUCACUUUCUCUCUUCUCACACCCAACGCACACACCCAGAUCCGCACUCAAAUCAGCGGCGUGGGUGCCGCCGCUCGUCCUUCCCGGCAAAGCAACGGCGAUAAGCCGCUGACACGCCCGGCUCUCCCUUCUCUCUCUCGGCGGCAUCACCGCCUCAUCUCCUUUACCCCUCUGACUUAGAUCGGCGACGGUGAGAGCCUCCGCCGUCUGAGCCCUAGCC
rnacentral:lncRNA from 1 species